rnacentral:rRNA from 1 species
UACGUAGGUGGCAAGCGUUGUCCGGAUUUACUGGGCGUAAAGGGCUCGUAGGUGGCCAACUAAGUCAGACGUGAAAUCCCUCGGCUUAACCGGGGAACUGCGUCUGAUACUGGAUGGCUUGAGUUUGGGAGAGGAAUGCGGAAUUCCAGGUGUAGCGGUGAAAUGCGUAGAUAUCUGGAGGAACACCGGUGGCGAAGGCGGCAUUCUGGACCAAUACUGACGCUGAGGAGCGAAAGCCAGGGGAGCAAACGGG